ACGGGAGGCAGCAGUGGGGAAUAUUGGGCAAUGGGCGCAAGCCUGACCCAGCAAUGCCGCGUGAAGGAAGAAGGCUUUCGGGUUGUAAACUUCUUUUAAGUGGGACGAUAAUGACGGUACCACUUGAAUAAGCUCCGGCUAACUACGUGCCAGCAGCCGCGGUAAUACGAGGGGUGCAAGCGUUGUUCGGAAUCACUGGGCGUAAAGGGAGCGUAGGCGGAGACGCAAGCAGUCUGUACAAUACCGGGGCCCAACCCCGGACCUGCAGACUGGACUGUGUCUCUUGGAUAGUUCAGGGGCAGGCGGAAUUCCUGGUGUAGCGGUGGAAUGCGUAGAGAUCAGGAAGAACACCGAUGGCGAAGGCAGCUUGCUGGGGACUUAUCGACGCUCAUGCUCGAAAGUGCGGGUAGCAAACAGGAUUAGAUACCCUGGUA
rnacentral:rRNA from 1 species